AUGCUGCCUCUCUCCCAUUUGAAAGCUAACUGUUAUUUGGUAUGUAUACAUGUGGCUUUUUUUUUUUUUUUUUUUGCAUUCUUGCAACUUUGAAUGGAUGACCCCUGCAAAACACCCGUGGCUGUGGUUGAAGACCAGAACCUAUGCAAGAAACUCCAUCUCAUGCUCUGUUAACUAGUUUUAAUGUUAUCGUAGCAGUAAUAAUCCACAGCGUCUGCAUUAGGUGCAAAGACUGUGAAGGGGCCACGACUUUCGAGUUCAGGGUGCCUUUGCAGGUUUCUCCGUCUCCAAUAAAGCCUGGCCUACAAGUGCAGUUCCUUUCCAGGGGUCCUGUCGUGGUACAUUGGCCUGUAUGAAUGCAGUCACCAUCUGCAUGGCAUCCCCCAUUAUUACCAUCCAGGCAUGGAUUGAUGGCUUCAAAC